rnacentral:rRNA from 1 species
UGGGGAAUCUUGGACAAUGGGGGGAACCCUGAUCCAGCCAUGCCGCGUGUGUGAAGAAGGCCUUAUGGUUGUAAAGCACUUUAAGCGAGGAGGAGGCUACUCUAGUUAAUACCUAGGGAUAGUGGACGUUACUCGCAGAAUAAGCACCGGCUAACUCUGUGCCAG